AUAUAGAGACUGGUAGGCGCGCUUAUACCUGUAAAAUUUGACGCCAAAUCCGGCGCUAGGUAAACUCAAUCCAUAGAUGGCGCCAGGGUGAUCAGUGUACUUCAACUUAAUGUCAUUAAAAUUGUUUUAGGUUAUGAUGUUAUGUACAAAAAUUUUUUACUUAGCGACUUGGUGUGGUUUGGCAUCUACAGUGUGUUAUACCUAGUUAUUGUUGCAAACAAUUUCGAGCAUUGAGGGGCUCCACUAAAAAGGAUGCUCGUUAUCACAGUAAAUAGUAGCGCAAUACCUGCAUUACAGACUUCUCACCCCGCCUAGCUGUCGGAGCUUGUACUGGAUCAAGCGAAGUCAACAAGUCAUUGAUCAAUGUAAACCAUAUGUGAACAAACUAGGAGCCGCCCUUCUUAUAUUAAGAUAAGCAUCAAAUGACCCUCACCUACACAAUCUACGGUGUAAGCAAUCAUGCCGAGAGAUGUAAGAACCUCUGACACAAAAUCAUUAUUGCCCGUUUGAUUAGCGAGAUUCUCGGCUGCUGAGAUGGGGAUUGAAGGAACUGGCAAAAGUCUACAUUAUUACUGUUAAGAUGGAAGGUAGGGGACCCGACUUGUUCAACCUACCUUGUUAUUUUAUAACUUAAUCUCGGAAGCUCCCAAGAUCUAAAUGCUGGAUAGAAGGGGACUAGUGCAAUAACUUUAACCAACUUCUGUUCCAGGAGUGUGGCAGUGCUGGAGGCUGAACUACAAAACGGAAGUAGGAAAAUGUGACUUAUCCUAACCUUAGUCAACUUCCCAUUUAACGCCUCUGCAAAACGACCAACUUCGGACUUCAGAAGAAUGACAGAUCACUGCGUAGGCAACGACGUGGAAUUGUAUUGUAUAUCGAUGCUAGCGAUGUGUGGGGAAACACAACUACACUACACUUCUGCACAGCUUCCUUGCCUUGGGUCUCAUGCCGAGUACAAUUACUUAGUUGUCGCUCUCCUACUUUCCAUGGAAAUUUAAAAUAAAGAUGCGUUAAAACAUAGACCCUUUUUCCAUAUUAUUAUCAGGGAAACUGCCUGUUACAUUUUUUACAAAUAUUUACAAAUAAAUUUUCUGUAA